CUCUCAGUAGCGCAGUCUGGUAGCGUGCUCGGUUUGGAACCGAGGGGUCGUAGGUUCAAAUCCUACCUGGGAGACCA
rnacentral:tRNA from 1 species